ACUCCUACGGGAGGCAGCAGUGGGGAAUAUUGCACAAUGGGCGCAAGCCUGAUGCAGCCAUGCCGCGUGUAUGAAGAAGGCCUUCGGGUUGUAAAGUACUUUCAGCAGUGAGGAAGGCGGGUACGUUAAAUAGCGUGCUCGUUUUGACGUAGCUGCAGAAAGAAAGCACCGGGCUAACUCCGUGCCAGCAGCCGCGGUAAUACGGAGGGUGCGAGCGUUAAUCGGAAUUACUGGGCGUAAAAGCGCAUGCAGGUGGUUUGUUAAAGUCAGAUGUGAAAGCCCGGGGCUCAACCUCGGAAAUAGCAUUUUGAAAACUGGCAGACUAGAGUACUUAGAGGGGGGUAG
rnacentral:rRNA from 1 species